UACGUAGGGGGCAAGUGUUGUCCGGAUUUAUUGGGCGUAAAGAGCGUGUAGGCGGCCAGAUAGGUCCGUUGUGAAAACUGGAGGCUUAACCUCCAGCGGUCGAUGGAAACCAUUUGGCUAGAGUCCGGAAGAGGAGAGUGGAAUUCCUGGUGUAGCGGUGAAAUGCGCAGAUAUCAGGAAGAACACCCGUGGCGAAGGCGGCUCUCUGGGACGGUACUGACGCUGAGACGCGAAAGCGUGGGGAGCGAACAGG
rnacentral:rRNA from 1 species